AUUAUAAAGUAUUAUUAUCUAAAAAUGAUGAAAAUGAUUUCAUUCCAAGUGAUCUUGAUUUCCAUCUUUUUGCUCAAUUGGCAAAGUUAUGCACCUUCAGUACUACCAUGUCAAACAGUAGCAGAUUGCAAUAUUAAGUGUAGCAAUGAUGGAACUCCAAUUUGUGCAAACAACACUUGCUAUUGCCAACGUUGCAACUUAUUCCCUCCACUAACCUCUGAUGAUGAAGAACCUAAAUUUAUAAGAAAAAAUUGAGCAAUUUAUUCUUCCCAUCCCGAUCGCGAUGUAAACAUCAAUUAAUAUGAAUAUUGAUGACAAUCCUAAUAAAAUAAUAUUAUAAUAAUGAAAAAAAGGAUACUUUUAUCUUGUUCUUUUAGCAUGAA